UACGGGGGGGGCAAGCGUUGUUCGGAAUUACUGGGCGUAAAGGGCGCGUAGGCGGUUUGCUAAGUUGGAUGUGAAAACUCUGGGCUUAACCCAGAGCCUGCAUCCAAAACUGGCAAACUUGAGUACUGGAGGGGAAAGCGGAAUUCCUGGUGUAGCGGUGAAAUGCGUAGAUAUCAGGAGGAACACCGGUGGCGAUGGCGGCUUUCUGGACAGUAACUGACGCUGAGGCGCGAAAGCUAGGGGAGCAAACAGG
rnacentral:rRNA from 1 species